rnacentral:rRNA from 1 species
UACGAAGGGGGCUAGCGUUGCUCGGAAUUACUGGGCGUAAAGCGCACGUAGGCGGUCUUUUUAAGUCGGGGGUGAAAUCCUGGAGCUCAACUCCAGAACUGCCUUCGAUACUGGAAGACUUGAGUCCGGGAGAGGUGAGUGGAACUGCGAGUGUAGAGGUGAAAUUCGUAGAUAUUCGGAGGAACACCAGUGGCGAAGGCGGCUUACUGGUCCAUUACUGACGCUGAGGUGCGAA